CCCGUCACUUUCACCUGUGCUCACUCCAGUGCUUGACUUCUCGUGCUUGUGACUGGUGCUCGUGACUUGCGUCAUGUACAGUGACAAAGUCUAGACUGACCUCCAACCAGAUGUGAAAAAACGCUACUACUCGCAAUUAUCACCUGGUAUUAUGGCUUCCAUCCUUUUCUACGUCUUAAUUACUCUACUCCUGGUUUCGUGUGGAAUUCAAGCCACAGAACGGCCACCAUUCUUCGCCAUCAUCGCUUCACCUCAAGAUAUGGACGAUUCAAAAGUCUUUCCUGACGGAACAGAACAUGGAAGGUCUGAUGAUUCCCAGAACCUACCAACCUCGUCUACAACUCCUGAUCCAAACAAAUUCCUGUUUAUUGCUCCUAAGAUUCGUUGCCGCAAAUGCUACAGGGUUGUUAAUGGAGAAUGCAGAAGGAUUGUAGGAUGCAGACUGAGGGAUCCAUAAAGUAAAUCUAUCUCGCCAUCCUCUCUUCAUCUCCUUCCAUCUUCUUACUGGUGUUGUUACUUUCGGACUCCAGUGCCUCACCUACGCUCUCCAGGAGAUAUCCCAGACAAGCAGCCUCUUAUGAACCCGACGACGGACCUCUCAUAUUCCCAGAUUCCGGAGAACGCUUUGCAGAGCAGCCUUUGAAAAUACCUGCAAGUGUUAUCCAAACCCUCCAAUAUGUCAUGAACAUGAACUUACUUGAUAUCGCCAUUCAUCAGUGUCUUUCAGGAUAAAGGAUGACCCCUAGUGGUUAUUGUCGAAGAAAUCGAAGUUAAUUAAUGGAUGUGAAUUUUCCACAUUGUUGAAGACUAUUCUACUUUAUUUAUUGGACAUUAAGUUUACUAUAUUUAAGACUUUUUUAUGUUAACUUUCAUGUAAAAUAGUAAAAGUAUUCACAUUUUAGAAAUUAUUACAUAAGUGUUUUGUACGAACACGGACAAACGGAAAAUACAUCUGGACAAGAAAGUUAUGCUUUGUAUAUUUAUCUUGAAAUAAAUAAAUUACCUAAUUAAUCUAUUCAUCAUUACAGUAGUUUAUAAUUUGUUAAAAACAAAAAACAUUCAAUAAAUGAUUUUGCAACAUCUCCA